CUUGGAGUUAACAUUCAAAGUUUACUUUUCCAGUUAACUGGAAAUCCCUUUCAAAAUGUAGAUUCAGAUCCUUUUUAUUUCUGAUAAUUUUUCAUGGAUUAUAAUGUUAAAUAUUCUGUUCCAUUGUUUUUUAUUUCUUCUUCAGGGGUUCCAAUUAUAUGUGAGUUAUUUAUCUUUUGUUCAACUUUCUCUUUCUGACCAUUUUUCCUUCUUUUCUGUAUCGUAUUUAUUUGUUUAUUUUUGCAUCUAUCCAGUGUCUAAGUUUUCAUUAGUCUGUUUUCCUUUGGACACCUUGUAAUUUAGUCUUCAUUUAUAAUUCCCCCCCUUCCAUUUCUUUCUUGAAUUCAAUAAUCUUUAAAUUUACUCGUGGUUUUUUUAAUCUAUUUCUGUUUUUUAUAUUUUGAAUUUCCAAUUCACGGUGCUUUUUCAUAUCCCCAAAUGCUUAUCUGAGGAUUUUAUUCAGUUUGAUAUGUUGUGUUACAAUUUUCUUCUGAUUUAAUGGUUGCUUUUUGGUAGAGAAUUUUCAUCAGCCAAUGCAUGUUAAUUAUUGUUUGCUGAUUUCUCAUACUACCAUUAUAUAGAUUUAGUCCAUUUCCUUCCAUUCAUUUUUUUGAAUUUGAGGGGUUAUAAGAUUCCUAGUUCAGAAGGACUCUCUCUGUCAGCAUAGAAAAUACAAUUUCUUUAGGGGGUGUUUUUUUUAACUUUAUAGUAGAGGGAGGGAUUAUGUAUGUUCCAGUUUUUUGUUUUUUGUUUUUGUCUUGCAGGACCCUGAAUUUCUCCUGUUGCUUCUUUUCCCCUUCACCAUCCAGUUGCCAAAAGGCACCUUGCCUAUUCUUUUUGCUCUCUCCACUCCCUGAAGCUAUCCUGUAAUAAGUGUUGUGAUACUAAGAUACUUUAUAUUUUUGCACCUAGGAUAGAAUUUCUAUCUCUGCUGGUGAUUUUAGACCAAUUUUAGGCCUGCCACUAGAUCCGUUUUUCUUUAUUCUGUAUGUUCUUCUUUGGCCUGCCCUUGCUUGCUACAAAGGCUUAUGGUAGAAAUGUGAAAGAUCACUCACUUGGAUUUGGUGCUUUUAAUUUUUUUACUUAUAAGUAUUUGACAUUUGGCUAUAUUUUUCUUCUUGUUAGGCUGAGGGUGUAUUUUGUAUAGAUUUAUUUAUUCUUCUUGUUCUGUAUCGUUUAUGACGGACAUAGGUAGCUGCCAUUUUAUUUUAUUACCGCGAAGUCCUCACCUAUUCACUCUUAAAUCUACCUCAUUGAAGACUUCAAUAACUAUUUGUUGUUGGAAGCCAUAAUGAAACUGUUGAUCAAAUUACCCAAUCCAAAUCAAAUUAACCAAAAAGACUUUCUUCAGUCUUCAUAUUAAUUACCUUCCCUGCAGAACAGAACAUGGUUGCCCAUUAUGUGAAAUUCCUUUUACUUCUUUGGUGGUCCUGUCUGUUUUCUUAUGCCUAAUUGUUGCUUACGGUAUACUUGCUGUUUGUUUGUUUGUUUGUUUGUUUCUUUUAUACACUCAUUAAGUGAGUUCUCCAUCUAAAUAUCCCAUAAGGCACUUCAGAAUCAACAUAUCCAAAAGGAAACAUAUUUUACUCAUCUCCAAAUCUUUUGUUUCUCCAGCAAUUCAAGUUUUGGUGAAUGAAGCUAUGAACAAUCCAGUAAUCCAAACCAGAAACUUGAGAGUCAUCUUUUUUACACCUCCCACUUUGCAUCUCUCACAUUGAAUAAGCAAUCAUGCCCUGAGCCAUAUACUUUCUUAGCAUCUCUGCCAUCCUCCCUAUCCUCUUUGGUAUGGCCUCUCUUCAGACUGCCUCCUUAGCUCUCUUCUGGAUCACUAUAACAGCCUAACAAUUGUAUCACCUUCAGUUUUGCUCUUUCUUCCAUAUGACUAUCAGAAUUAUUUCUCUGGAAGAUCAUGUCAAUCACUCCUUCUCAGUGGUUCUUCAUUGCCUAUAGGAAGAAAUCCAAACUCCGUAGCAUGAGAGAAAUGUUUUUCAUAAUGACUUUAUCCUGCCUUUCUAUUGUUUCUUUCAUAUCAUGCCCAGCUCAGCCCCCCAUUCAAUGAAAAUCAUACUAAACUACUUUAAUUCCACUAACAUGUUGUGCUAGUUAAGCCUCUUUACCUUUGUUCAUGCUGUUUUUACUCAGACCACUCCAUUCCACAACAUACACUUGGGGGAUACCUACUAAUUUUGAAGACCCCCUUCAGCCCUGAUGUUAACCUUCUUUGUGGAAUCAUUAUUGACAUGAUGGAUAGAAUUGGUCAGAUGCUUCCUUGUUCAUCAGUUGUACUAGGCACAGCAUUCUAAUGUAGCACCUAUUACACAUUUUAAAAUUUGUUUACAUGUCUCCCCUCAUGUAAGUUUGUAGGACUGGUACCUGAAAUAUACUAGGCUUACCUUACUGACAUUUUGAAAUAUAAGAUAGCUUUCCAAGGCUUGCUUUUGCCUCCUGAUUCAGGACUCUACCAUUGGCAUCAUCAGGAAGAAUUUCUAAUAGUAUUAUUGAUCAGAGUCUUCUGGAAGUUUCUGCAGGUUACACAUCAACUUACUUUUCCCUGACAAAAUAAUUCUGCAUCUAGAAACACAAACAAGUAGUCAAAGAAGUUAUAUUGGAACUAAGAGAUGAAUUACCAAAGGAAAACUGAAAUCAAGAAACAUUUGAUGAAAUUCAGGCAAUGUCUUCAGGUGCCAGAGGACACAGAAAUGUCCCGAGAACCAUUCACAUGAUCUUAAAGAAACUUCUGCUGGUUGUCUUGUACCUUUGAAGCAGGUGUGAUUGAGAUGGAUACCUUAAUUUUUUUAAAGUAAAAAUUGUUCAUUCUCUUAUGUACUUUAGCAUACUGGUAUUCUUAUCAAAAUAUGAAACAGCAUCAAGUUUAAUAUUAAUUAUAAAACACAUGGUAUAUUUAUAUUUCUGCUCUUUAUUUUCUAAAGUUAACUCAGUUAACUCUCCAUAUAGGUAUUUGGACAUGGGCUGUAACCACUUUUUAGAACAAAUACUGUGAAGAUUGUUUUAUUACAUGACAUUUUAUGAUGUGAGAUUAACACCUUUGUGUUAGUAAACAUCCUAGAUUGUUCACUUCAAUAUAGAUUUUUAAAAUGUAUAGUUAUACUUGUGCAGGAUACUAGAAAAUGAAAAUGACUGUUCACACAUGCUUUAUUAUUCAGUAAUUUUACAAGAAAAUAUUACUGUUUGAAAGAAAAUCAUGCAUGCCUAAAACUGAUUCUGUUCCAGUUUUAUAAGUUAGUAUACUAAUUUUAAGACAUUGUGUAUAUUUCCUUCACUUAAUUUCUAUUUUCUACUGCAUUUCUACCAAUAUAAAAAACAAAGAAUUCAGUUGGUUCCUUUCUAGAGGGAAAAUUUGUUGUGAGUAUAGUACUGGGCAUCACAUGCUGCUUCCCUUUGUGGCUUUGAAUAAACCCUUAUUUUCUUGUCCAUUUUGUCUCAAAGAAUUUUAAAUGGCAUUGUCUAAACUCAGGAGUAUUGUGUGGAUUGAUUAGUAUGAGAAGUUUCUUUCAUGGUAAGUAUAGAGUUUAAGUAUAUAAAAUCAACUCUUGGUCAUAUAUGUAAAACACAAUUGAGAAGUAAAACUUGCCAUCAACUCUUGGUUAUAUACAAAAAAAUUGAGAAGUAAAACUUGCCAUACAUAUUAGUACAAGUAAUUAAAAACGGAUUAUAGCUUGAAAGGCAUUAGAUCUCACAUUAUUUACAUUCUCACUCCUUUUAGCUCCUUUGCUUUUUUGUUCUCUUGUUUGCAAAGAUUAAAAAUAAUGUUCCUGGCAUUUUAAUGGAACAUUACCAAAUGUACAUUCAUGUGUAUUGAUCAAAGACCAACUUUCAUUAGUGAAAAAAUCUAAUUUUUUCUAGACCAAUUAAAAGGAUAAAAUUCUCUUAUUUGAAUAAUAAGAGAAUUAAAGAGUUUAUUAAGCAAAAACAGUUGCUGAAAAAGCGUAGCAAAGACUGACUAGACUGGCUAGAAUUUCCUCUUCUUCCAGGACAGAUGGUUCUACGACAUUUUAAGCCUUCUUUGUAAUGGCCGAGUGACUGGGUUCUAGCUAGUGGAAUGUGAGUGGAAGCCUUUUACCUCAGAAAAGACACACAAUUCUGCAUGCCCUUUCCCCUUCUGUGGCAUGGUGCAAACAUGCAUGGUGACUUUGGAAGCCACAUUUUGACGAUGGUGGAGCCGCAAGAUGAAAAGAGCCUAGGUUCCUGAAUCACCAGUUGUCGCCUGAACCUAUAUAGAAAUUGGUACCUUGAAAAGUGGAGGUUUCUGAACAAAAAAACCUUUAAGGUAUGUGGCAUUGGCUUUGUGGUUGGGUAGAAAAAUUAAGUUAAAAUUAGUUCCAUUGUAAUAAAGAUGUAUUUUAGUUUUUA
rnacentral:lncRNA from 10 species